GGGGAAGACAGCGGGCUGUGAAGAAAGUGGUGAAGAAAGAGGACCGAGAGCCCCUUGGAAGAUGUUACGGAAGGUCAGAGGGCGGCCCAUCAGCCCUAACGGCUCCGUUCUUCCCAAUUUCAUCCCAAUUCAUGUGUCAGCUUUUUCGUUAUCCCUCUGCAUUAUUUUAAAAGUGUCUGCUCUAGGGGCGACAAUGACAUCCUUAAUUCACAGUGGACUUGGAGCGAGCACUGUGUCCUUUACUUAAAACAUGAAGACCUUGUGACCCCACAGGUACGUCCUCCCCGCUCUGCCUCAUGUCACAGACCUUGUGACCUCACAAGUGAGUCCUCCCUGCUCUCCCUCAUGUCAUAGACCUUGUGAUGGCACAGGUGCAUCUUCCCUGCUCUGCCUCAUGUCACAGACCUUGUGACCUCACAGGUGCGUCCUCCCCACUCUCCCUCAUGUCAUAGACCCUGUGACCGCACAGGUGCUUUCCCUCAUGUCAUUGCUGAUGUGCGACGCAUCUACAUAUGCUGGAGACACCGCGACGCAGCACUGCAGAGCUUGCCUGAAGCCGUCCCACGUGUGAUAAAGGAACGGAGAGGGUAUUUUCUCUUUACCCACAGACCUUCCUCGCUGAAUGCUGUUUGAUCCUGAGUGUCCUGUUUCCAUGCUGAUCGCAUCCCUCCAGACUGAAGAAUGGCUUUUAUUAGACUUGCAUCACAUGGAGACCUGGGAGCUGGCUUUGUGUGAGGCAGGCCUGUCGCUCAUGUCAAGGACCAUCGGUCUGCCUGUGGACCAGCAGCUGUUCCAAACCCAGGUCAUUGGGACACCCAGGAGGCUGGAAUGCAGCGGUGGAUAUCGGGUCACUACAGCCUCGACCUCCUGGGCUCAAGCAAUCCUCCUGCCUCAGCCUCCUGAGAGUUCUGGAGGGACGCACAUUUCCCAGGUUGGGCACCUGGACGGGCUUAGAGUCUCAGUGCUGUUGGGAGCCCCAGAGGGACCUCGGCCACAGCCCACCUCUCAUGUCUUUGGUGACUUCCGUCCAGCAGAGGAGGGGGUGCCACUCCUCACGGGGGGUGCCUGGGCAGCUCAGGGAGGUGGGUGGAGUGUCUCUGGAAUGAGGUCUUGCCCAACCCACCCUGCCCGGGACACCUUCCCUCACCUGCCAGCCUGUGAGUUUCAAGAGGCUGAUCUCCUUCAAGCUUCUCCCGUGUGUCAGAUAGAAUUCCACUCGGAAUUUUUCACUUUGCAAUGAAAGGCCACAUUAAAAUCACGUGUUUGCCAGUAACGUCAGACUUUCAAAA